rnacentral:SRP_RNA from 1 species
GCUGGGUGUGGUGGUGUGCGCCUGUAGUCCCAGCUACUUGGGAGGCUGAGACAGGAGAAUUGCUUGAACCCAGGAGGCGCAGGUUGCAGUGAGCCAAGAUUGCCCCACUGCACUCCAGCAUGGGCAACAAAGUGAGACCCUGUCUCAA